rnacentral:ncRNA from 2 species
AACCGGAUCAGUUGUUCAGGUGCACAUGGUGCUUAAAAGGGAACGCCUGUGAAAAUCAGGGACGGGCCCGCCGCUGUAAGUGGGGACAAAGGCUUUUAUAGGCCACUGUCAAUUGGAACUCAAUUCAAAGUGAAUUCAAAAAAUUGACGGGAAGGCAAAAGCAAAUAGGAUGAUCCACAAGUCAGAAGACCUGCCGGACACAUUGAUGAAUU